rnacentral:rRNA from 1 species
AGCGAACGUUAGCGGCGGGCUUAACACAUGCAAGUCGAGCGAGAAAGUGGCUUCGGCCAUCAGUAAAGCGGCGGACGGGUGAGUAACACGUAGGUAAUCUUCCCUUGAGCGGGGGACAACGGUCCGAAAGGACCGCUAAUACCGCAUACGUUUCCAGAGACCCCGGUCUUUGGAAGGAAAGCUAGGCCGCAAGGUCCGGCACUCGAGGAGGAGCCUGCGUCGCAUCAGCUAGUUGGUGGGGUAACGGCCUACCAAGGCGAAGACGCGUAGCUGGUCUGAGAGGAUGAUCAGCCACACUGGGACUGAGACACGGCCCAGACUCCUACGGGAGGCAGCAGUGGGGAAUAUUGGACAAUGGGCGCAAGCCUGAUCCAGCCACGCCGCGUGAGGGAUGACGGCCUGG